GUACACGCUGUGACUAGCAUAUCAAUAAGCGGAGGAAAAGAAACUAACAAGGAUUCCCCUAGUAACGGCGAGUGAAGCGGGAAGAGCUCAAAUUUGAAAUCUUAAAGGGUUUCCCUUUACGAAUUGUAGUUUAAAGAAGUGUUUUCUGUUGAGGUUUUGGUAAAAGUUCUUUGGAAUAGGACAUCAUAGAGGGUGAGAAUCCCGUAUUUGACCUUUACUUUCAACCUUUGUGAUACACUUUCAAAGAGUCGGAUUGUUUGGGAAUGCAGUCCAAAAUGGGUGGUAAAUUUCAUCUAAAGCUAAAUAUUAGCGAGAGACCGAUAGCGAACAAGUACCGUGAGGGAAAGAUGAAAAGAACUUUGAAAAGAGAGUUAAACAGUACGUGAAAUUGUCAAAAGGGAAGCGUUUGACACCAGUGUUGUUUUUCUGAAAAUCAAUUAAAGAACUGUUUAUGCUAAGCUGUUUAGACUUUAUCAGCUAUCUGUUUAGUUUUGAGCUUUUCUUUAAUGCACUUUUCAGUUAACAAGUCAACAUCAAUUUCUUUUGCUGUAAAAAAGCUUGAGGAAGGUGGCUUGAGAUUCGUCUUAAGUGUUUAUAGCCUCUUGCCUAUGCAGUCGGAGAGAUUGAGGUCUGCAGCGUAGAUCCUUCGGGGCUAAAUGCAUUUGUGCUAAGUUAUAGCAUUUUAUAGACAACUUGUUGACUAUGAUUUGUCUUGUAGCUUACUCGCUUAUGUUAUUUUACCUACGCUUAGGAUGUUGAAGAUGUAGCACAUCAU
rnacentral:rRNA from 1 species